rnacentral:SRP_RNA from 1 species
CGGCAAGUCCUACACGACCAGCUCCUAAUGACUCCUCCAGGGCGGGAACGCAGCAAAGGUAAUUGGUUGUAGCGGUGCGAUGUAGAUCGCUUGCCUUUU